UACGGAGGGUGCGAGCGUUACCCGGAUUUACUGGGCGUAAAGGGCGUGUAGGCGGUUUUCUAAGUCCAGGGCUAAAGACCAGGGCUCAACCCUGGGGUUGCCUUGGAUACUGGAAAGCUCGACGGCUGGGGGGGGCAGCGGAAAUUCCGGGGUAGCGGUGAAAUGCGCAGAUACCGGAAGGAACGCCAAUAGCGAAGGCAGCUGCCUGGACAGUACGGGACGCUGCGGCGCGAAAGGGUGGGGAUCAAACCGG
rnacentral:rRNA from 1 species